CCUGGCGGCCAUAGCGCCGUGGAACCACCUGAUCCCAUGCCGAACUCAGAAGUGAAACGCGGUAGCGCCGAUGGUAGUGUGGCAUUCGCCAUGCGAGAGUAGGACACUGCCA
rnacentral:rRNA from 1 species